GAUGAACGCUAGCGGCAGGCUUAAUACAUGCAAGUCGUGGGGCAGCAUGACUGUAGCAAUACAGUUGAUGGCGACCGGCAAACGGGUGCGUAACACGUGAGCGACCUACCCUGGUGUGGGGGAUAGCCGGCCCAACGGCCGGGUAAUACCGCAUGCGCUCUGUGGGCUCCCUGGCCUGGAGAGCAAAGCUUUGGGGCAACUCAAGGCGCAUUGGGAGGGGCUCGCGGCCUAUCAGCUAGUUGGCGGGGUAACGGCCCACCAAGGCGUCGACGGGUAGCUGGUCUGAGAGGAUGGCCAGCCACAUUGGGACUGAGACACGGCCCAGACUCCUACGGGAGGCAGCAGUAGGGAAUCUUGCGCAAUGGGCGAAAGCCUGACGCAGCCAUGCCGCGUGAAUGAUGAAGGUCUUAGGAUUGUAAAAUUCUUUCAGCGGGGACGAUAAUGACGGUACCCGCAGAAGAAGCCCCGGCUAACUUCGUGCCAGCAGCC
rnacentral:rRNA from 1 species